rnacentral:rRNA from 1 species
AUUGAACGCUGGCGGAAUGCUUUACACAUGCAAGUCGAGCGGCAGCGCGGGGCAACCUGGCGGCGAGCGGCGAACGGGUGAGUAAUACAUCGGAACGUACCCAGUUGUGGGGGAUAGCCCGGCGAAAGCCGGAUUAAUACCGCAUACGACCUGAGGGUGAAAGGGGGGGAUCGCAAGACCUCUCGCAGUUGGAGCGGCCGAUGGCGGAUUAGCUAGUUGGUAGGGUAAAGGCCUACCAAGGCGACGAUCCGUAGCUGGUCUGAGAGGACGACCAGCCACACUGGAACUGAGACACGGUCCAGACUCCUACGGGAGGCAGCAGUGGGGAAUUUUGGACAAUGGGGGCAACCCUGAUCCAGCCAUUCCGCGUGAGUGAAGAAGGCCUUCGGGUUGUAAAGCUCUUUCGGCAGGAACGAAACGGUGGUCCCUAAUACGGAUUGCUAAUGACGGUACCUGAAGAAGAAGCACCGGCUAACUACGUGCCAGCAGCCGCGGUAAAG